rnacentral:rRNA from 1 species
AUUGAACGCUGGCGGCAGGCCUAACACAUGCAAGUCGAGCGGAUGAAGGGAGCUUGCUCCUGGAUUCAGCGGCGGACGGGUGAGUAAUGCCUAGGAAUCUGCCUGGUAGUGGGGGAUAACGUCCGGAAACGGGCGCUAAUACCGCAUACGUCCUGAGGGAGAAAGUGGGGGAUCUUCGGACCUCACGCUAUCAGAUGAGCCUAGGUCGGAUUAGCUAGUUGGUGGGGUAAAGGCCUACCAAGGCGACGAUCCGUAACUGGUCUGAGAGGAUGAUCAGUCACACUGGAACUGGGACACGGUCCAGACUCCUACGGGAGGCAGCAGUGGGGAAUGUUGGACAAUGGGCGAAAGCCUGAUCCAACCAUGCGGCGUGUGUGAAGAAGGUCUUCGGAUUGUAAAGCACUUUAAGUUGGGAGGAAGGGCAGUAAGUUAAUACCUUGCUGUUUUGACGUUACCAGCAGAAUAAGCACCGGCUAACUUCGUG